rnacentral:lncRNA from 1 species
GAAGAAACAAAGGAGGCGGGGAACGGCGAAGGGGUGCGGCCGAAGGCCCCGCCCUCUCCUGCGUUGGGUAGUUUCUGGGAGUGCGCUGCGAACGCUGGGUCUUGGAGGUGGUGGCCUCCGCGGCGCUUGUGGGAAAUUAUGUACAACUGUGCCAUGGUAGACAGGCAGGCCAUCGCUCUUUGCAGAGGCCUGGCCCUGUGUGCCCGGUGGGGAGGCGGUCCAGCAUGAUGACUGAAAGCACAGACGCUGGGUGCUUUCCGGCCGCCUGGGCUCAGACCCUGGCUCCAUCAUUUAUUAGCUAGACUGUUGCUGUUGUCACUGUCAUUCUUGCUGCUGCCAGCCUUUGCGCGGGCACCUGAAAGAAGCCCUGGGGAAAACUGUUUCUCAGAAAGUGAACAGAAUCUCCCCUGGACCUCCGUCGUCUCAUUGAUGAGACAAAUCCUGAUCCAGGAAAACUUCCGCCUUUUUCUGAUGGUGAAUUUCAUCCAAGCCUUCCAUUGACCUUUCUUCAGUAACUUCAUGGUGAUCUUCGCAGAUAAUCUUGUUCCCGAGGGUGUUCUUCCUUCUUCCAUAAGGAGCAUCGAAGACAGGGCAGGCUGUAUAUGCCCACAGUUAUGUGAUGAUUCUUCGUGUAUCUUCCUACAAGGAUUAAAGAUUUAACUCUUACCUGGCUGAGGAAAUUAAAAACCUGAUUGUAUCAGUAGUUUGAAAAAAUGACACGCAUUUAUUAAGAAAUCCAAAGAUUCAUAGCCUCAGACAUUAUACAAGAUUCAGUAGAAACAUAAUGGAUACAAGAGAUGAAAGGAAAAAGAGGAAGGAGAGGCCAAUGAGGGCUGAACGAUGUGAUAAUUAAACAUUUUAGCUUUUGAAUUUUGUCCCCCUGAGCUUUCUCAUUUAAGCCUCAGCAGAGCUGUGGAAGAAAAUAAAUGACUUCCUGUGAGCAUGUGGUUUUGCUUUACCUGGGUGUUUAAGAUUCCUGUGACUGUUACAAGGAAGAAGAGUGGCUUGAUCAAGAAUUCGUGAAGCCAGAUUUCAAAACGCUUGGCUGAACGACUGAGUCCUGGAAUUCCAGAGCAUUGUUAAAAUUCCAUGGUCAUGACCAUUACUGUAGAGAGCAUGUCCUCCUUCAAAAAAUGUAUCGGCCUGCUGUUUAUUGCACCAUUUGGAGAUUUUUUUUUUUUUUUAAGAUUUUAUUUUUUCCUUUUUCUCCCCAAAGCCCCCCGGUACAUAGUUGUGUAUUCUUCGUUGUGGGUUCUUCUAGUUGUGGCAUGUGGGACGCUGCCUCAGCGUGGUCUGAAGAGCAGUGCCAUGUCCGCGCCCAGGAUUCGAACCAACGAAACACUGGGCCGCCUGCAGCGGAGCGCGCGAACUUAACCACUCGGCCAC